GUGCUCGCUUCAGCAGCACAUAUACUAAAAUUGGAACGAUACAGAGAAGAUUAGCAUGGCCCUUAAAAAUUAAAAAUAAAUAAAUAAAUAAAAGAAACUGCAAAACUGU